rnacentral:snRNA from 1 species
AUACUUACCUGGAAGGGGAGUUACCAUGAUCAUAAAGGUGGUUUACCCAAGGUGAAGUUUAUCCAUUGCACUCUUAUGUGCAUACUCUUGUGAUUUCCCAAAAUUCAGGAAACUUGACUGUAUAAUUUAUAGUAGUGGAGGAGUGUAUUCAUGCUCUCCCCUA